ensembl:lincRNA
AUGAACUCAGCAAGGAGUUCAAAAUUUAGACUUAAAUUGAAGAAAGUAGGGAAAACCACUAGGCCAUUCAGGUAUAACCUAAAUCAAAUCCUUUACGAUUAUACAGCGGAAGUGACACAUAGAUUCAAGGGAUUAGAUCUGAUAGACAUAAUGCCUGAAGAAAUAUGGACGGAGGUUCGUGACACGGCACAGGAGGCAGGGAUCGAGACCAUCCCUAUGAAAAAGAAAUGCAAAAAGGCAAAAUGGCUGUCUGAGGAGGCCUUACAAAUAGCUGAGAAAAGAGGAGAAGUGAAAGGCAAAGGAGAAAAGGAAAGAUAUACGCAUCUGAAUGCAGAGUUCGAAAGAAUAGUAAGGAGAGAUCAGAAAGCCUUCCUAAGUGAACAAUGCAAAGAAAUAGAGGAAAACAAGAGAAUGGAAAAGACUAGAGAUCUCUUCAAGUUUUGCUUUGCUUCAACAUCUGCAUAGCAACUUUUCACCCACAGAAUAACCAGAAAAAACAUAUUUCUCUGAAUGACAGGCCAGUUUUACUUAAAAACUACUCAGAUAGUGUAUCUCAGAAAGGACAGAAGUCUCAACCGAGUGCUUAAAAACAGAAUUUAAUAAAAUCAACUGUGUUUCUGAUUCAGGAUUUUUAAAAAUGCCAAUGCAUUCAGAAUCCCAAAGAGUAAACUGAAUUAUCUACCACUAAGCUGAAAAAAAGAUUCCUUUUCUCAACCAGACUUGGGAAAUUUCUGAAAAAACAAAUUAUAAAUAGGUCCAUUCAAACAGAAAAACAAAAUAACUAUGUACCAAAAUAUUUUACAUCUGAAUUUUUUAAACCAGAAAAAAGAAAAAUGAAGUCAUUAUUCUGAAAGACAACAUAAUCCUGAAGGCUAAAUGACUGCACGUCACUUUUCAAAGACCUGCUAAUAAACCUAUGAAGGAGCACAGCUACGCAUUAUUAAUUUGUUUACUAGCACCUAACUCGUAAAAUCAUUAGAGAUGAGUUAGGAACCAGGAGUGACUUAUCCUAAGUGUUCAAAUUGGCACCCUGAACCUAAUAAUUCAUAUUGGCAUUCAACAACGUAUUAAGACGAAUGGCUCUGCCAGUGCAGACGGAAGAAAUGGACCUUUCCCCCCAUCAUGGGCAAAAUCAAGACGCUGGGACGCUAAAAGUCAAGUUUGCUCAAAACUAUAAACUGGGGUGUAAUGAUAAGGGAUUCAAUUUCAUGGCAAUGUUCAAAUUCGUCCAACAGGAUUGGGGCCCUAAAGACGGCAUUUCAGUAAACAGUAUUAACUUGUAAUUACCUACUGGGACAAAUCAGAAAUAGAUGCUGGUAAAAUCAUUCCCUAAGAGAACACGAGUCCCGGGUAAGGUGUCUCUCGCGGCUGGAGGAUGGGCUCUCAGGGUCCCUUCCCGAGCCCUCCCCUCCAAGGCCCUCCCACACCUCUCCCAGACCAACGCACGGGGAGGAGACCUAUUUAAAAAACAGAAAACUGUUGGGAAUUCUUUCAGCCGCUCGGCCACGAACAACUACCAUUGUCCCAGGCCGAAGGCAAGCGAGAUUUCCUCCUUUUCCAGGCGCACACCCAGGGCGGGCUACCCCCCAGCCAGGCCCGGAGCCACCGUG